rnacentral:rRNA from 1 species
AGCGAAUAGAUACCCUGGUAGUCCCAGCCGUAAACGAUGCUCGCUAGGUGUCAGGCAUGGCGCGACCGUGUCUGGUGCCGCAGGGAAGCCGUGAAGCGAGCCACCUGGGAAGUACGGCCGCAAGGCUGAAACUUAAAGGAAUUGGCGGGGGAGCACAACAACGGGUGGAGCCUGCGGUUUAAUUGGACUCAACGCCGGACAACUCACCGGGGGCGACAGCAAUAUGUAGGCCAAGCUGAAGACUUUGCCUGAAUCGCUGAGAGGAGGUGCAUGGCCGUCGCCAGUUCGUACUGCGAAGCAUCCUGUUAAGUCAGGCAACGAGCGAGACCCGUGCCCACUGUUACCAGCAUGUCCUCCGGGACGAUGGGUACUCUGUGGGGACCGCCGAUGUUAAAUCGGAGGAAGGUGCGGGCCACGGUAGGUCAGUAUGCCCCGAAUCUCCCGGGCUACACGCGGGCUACAAUGGAUGGGACAAUGGGUCCU